rnacentral:rRNA from 1 species
CACGUAGGGUGCAAGCGUUGUCCGGAAUUAUUGGGCGUAAAGGGCUCGUAGGCGGUCCGUCACGUCGGGAGUGAAAACUCGGGGCUCAACCCCGAGCCUGCUUUCGAUACGGGCGGAUUAGAGGUAGGUAGGGGAGAACGGAAUUCCUGGUGUAGCGGUGGAAUGCGCAGAUAUCAGGAGGAACACCGGUGGCGAAGGCGGUUCUCUGGGCCUUACCUGACGCUGAGGAGCGAAAGCGUGGGGAGCGAACAGG